GCCCGUGUGGUGAAACUGGUAAACACGCUGGAUUCAAAAUCCAGUGCUUUUUUAGCUUGUCGGUUCGAGUCCGACCACGGGUACCA
rnacentral:tRNA from 1 species